rnacentral:rRNA from 1 species
GUAACAAGGUUUCCGUAGGUGAACCUGCGGAAGGAUCAUUAUCGAAUAAACUUGAACAGGUUGUUGCUGGCCCUCUGGGCAUGUGCACGCUUGUCCAUCUUUAUCAUUUCUCCAACUUGUGCACUUAUUGUAGACCAUUAGAUUUGGGGACUGCUGUGCUUUUUAUCAGUCGGCUUUCCCUUUCUUUUAUACCAUUCAAGGUCUAUAUGAUUUUCACAAUCUCAUAAAUGUCGAAUGUACGUUAAAAACGAAAGAAAUAUAUACAACUUUCAGCAACGGAUCUCUUGGCUCUCGCAUCGAUGAAGAACGCAGCGAAAUGCGAUAAGUAAUGUGAAUUGCAGAAUUCAGUGAAUCAUCGAAUCUUUGAACGCAUCUUGCGCUCCUUGGUAUUCCAAGGAGCAUGCCUGUUUGAGUGUCAUUAAGUUCUCAACCACAUAUUUUUUGUGGCUUGGAUUGUGGGGUGUUGCCGGCUUUUAUACAAGUCGGCUCUCCUUAAAUGCAUAAGUGGUAUUUAGAAAAGCUACGUGUGGGUGUUAUAAAUUUAUAAUACACCUUUUUGGUGAUCUACUGUACUGCUUCCAACCCUGUUUUUGUUUGACAAUUUUGACCUCAAAUCAGGUAGGACUACCCGCUGAACUUAAGCAUAUCAAUAAGCGGAGGAAAAGAAACUAACAAGGAUUCCCUCAGUAACUGCGAGUGAAGUGGGAAAAGCUCAAAUUUGAAAUCUGGCAGGUUCUACA